AUUGAACGCUGGCGGCAUGCUUUACACAUGCAAGUCGAACGGCAGCGCGGGCUUCGGCCUGGCGGCGAGUGGCGAACGGGUGAGUAAUGCAUCGGAACGUGUCCAGUAGUGGGGGAUAGCCCGGCGAAAGCCGGAUUAAUACCGCAUACGACCUGAGGGUGAAAGCGGGGGACCGAAAGGCCUCGCGCUAUUGGAGCGGCCGAUGUCGGAUUAGCUAGUUGGUGGGGUAAAGGCUUACCAAGGCGACGAUCCGUAGCUGGUCUGAGAGGACGACCAGCCACACUGGGACUGAGACACGGCCCAGACUCCUACGGGAGGCAGCAGUGGGGAAUUUUGGACAAUGGGGGCAACCCUGAUCCAGCCAUGCCGCGUGCGGGAAGAAGGCCUUCGGGUUGUAAACCGCUUUUGUUCGGGAAGAAAUCCUCUGGGCUAAUACCCCGGGGGGAUGACGGUACCGGAAGAAUAAGCACCGGCUAACUACGUG
rnacentral:rRNA from 1 species